AUUUAAACGGAACCAGGUGUAUUCGCAAUUAUAUGACAAUUUAACCUAAAAAAAAUUUAUUUAGCGCAUCAACAAUAACAAUAAACUUAACGUAUUUAAAAAGUGUUUUAAUACAUAAUAACAUGCCAAAAGAUAGAUAGUAGAAUUUAUGGGAAAUUUUCUGGUUGUGUAUAACAAUAUUUCAAACAAAAUAAAAUCUGGGAACACUGAUUAUGAUUCCCUGAACAUAGCAUAUUUGUGCACAAAUUUUGUAACAUCCAAUUGUGUUAACGAAGUGCUGGCAUAGAUAACGUGCUGGAGGGAAUACAUCAUUCAGAAAAUUGUACGGAAGUUUACAAAUUUCAGUAUAUGUAGUCACAUGUGGAAGAGACUUAAGAGGAGAUUGUGCAUAACUCGUGGCACGUCAUCGUUUGCGCCGUUUUAAGUCAACAGACUCCACAUUCACAAAACCUUAUAACUUCACAGUCGAAUAUUUGGUAUCGGAAGUCAUGAGCCAUCACCAAACCAGUAACCACCAUUGGUUUUAUGUUCUCUUCCCUUUUAUUUUACUCAUAUUCAACAUAUGUACAUAUAAAUGAUUUGGUGGAGUCACAAACCUAGUAAAGCUUUGAAUGCAAGAAUUGUGACUAGUAUAGUUACAAAUAGAUUUGGUGUUGCUGGUGUUGAAUAGGAUGAACACGAAACGACGCAUGAAAUUAAUCGGAAUAAGCAUUGCCUCCUCAAAGGUUUUUAUUGCCCUGGCGGAUGUGCCGACUUUUUAACGCUCGUUCUAAUAGUCUUCAACAAUUUUCUAAAAGUUGCCGCUGUACUAAUAAACCGCCCGCCAGCGAUCUCUCCGCAGUCAUGAACUCAACAAUUUUACUAAAUUCUCAUAUGCACGUGAACAUAUUGGUGUGAGUUUUACCGAGAGUAUCUGUGUGUAUUUCUGGAUUUUGUUUGCUAGUCACUCAACUUAUACUUUUCGUGCUCAUCUGUUAGGUGAGCGCACUAACGUAUCACUUACGUAAGGUGAAAGAUGGCGAUACAAUGUGCAAUAUGCCUGAAAGAGUUAACACGAUUUUACGAGCGAAAACAAGUAAAUGUGAAAUAUAAAUACCACUAAAAAUGUAUCUUUUAAAUAAAAAAAAUGCGGUCGUUGCAAAUUUAGUGCUUCUAUCAACUGAAAAAGAGUACUGGAGAAGCAACACAGUUCUAAAGACAGCUGAAGUCAUAUGAAUCGUUUAUUCGCAACUUUUGAAAUGUAGAACAAUUUAUUUUAUCCGCACUCAAGCUCACAGUCGUCAAAUACAAAUGAAAAUACAUUUACAUCUGGGGAGCAAAAAAAAUCUACAUAUUUCAAAAGAACGUGAAAUACUUAAAAUUACUGUUCACAUGGUCAGAAAAUAUAUACACAACAUGCUUUAAAAAUUCGUAGUUUUAAAAUGGUUUAAAAGUUGUAAUUUGUGACUCUCCAUCGCAAACAUCUUCUAGGCAGAUUAAUUGAAAUUAAUCAUUCGAAGAUUUACUUUAUACUACAGUUGUGCUGCCUGGAAUUACACCAUACUAAAAAUACACUUAUUUGGUUAAAAACGUUGAGUAAACCUAAUUAGGGCGAAACUAUGGCGAUCACACCAUAAAUAAAUCACAUAAAAUAUAAGUAGAUAUAAUGUUUUAUAUGAUAAGUUAUAUAUAUAAGGCUUCUAUUCAAGAUUUUGAGAAUUAAAAAAAAAUAUAUAUAUAUAUAAGAGAUUUAUAACAAUAAACGUUCGAAAUU